UUCAACUUGUGAAUUACCUCUCUGAGUCUGUGCGUCCUUUAAAAGUGAUCGACAGCAGUGUCUCUACUAAUAGUGAACCUUUAAGUUAAUUUUCUUCAGGAACAGCACCGUUGUUAACUCACUUGUAAGAAAUGGAUGUAUGCAGAUGUCUUCAAAGUGAAGCACGCAGAGGGACGGGGCGUUUAGUCGGCAACAUCUGAACUUAAGAGCCUGUCAAUCAAAUCUCAGCGGGAGCAGUUAUCCCAGGAAUGCAUCAACGGCAGCUUCUUCAAAGAUGAGUCUGGAAUUUGAUGGUCUCCUAGCAACCGGCUCCUCUGAGCCUCCCUGUGGCUGAUGGUUCUGAUGGGCAUUGUCCUCACCACCACAGGCUUAAGGGACAGAAGAUGGGUUUAAUCAAACGCGCCUGAAGAGAGGGGAAGAGUGAGGGAGGGAUAUCAUCUGAAACAGCCAUGAUAUUUUAUGUCAUUUGAUUUGAGCAGGAAAUGAAAGAUGGAAGAGACGUACUGUAGUUCACCUGAGCAAGCCAAUUCAGGAAGGGCUGCCGCUUUCAUGUAUUUUGUGCUUGCUGUUUAAUAUUAAAAGUGAUUACUUUGUGUCA